CCAAAUCCCCGGAUGAACACAUGGCUUUGUUUGUUAUGGAACAUUAAACCGAAUACUGAAUGGGUAGGCGUUACGCCAUUGGCUGAAAUCAGCACUUUAGAGGAAUUUCAUCUUUCAGCUUUCUUGGCCCCGGGAGUGUUCGGUCUCUGAUCAGCAGGGGCAUUUUCUCUACAUAAGAAGAAAAUGGAGAUUCCAUACCCACCUGAUGUAUUUUGUCGGACAGUUUUCUGUACUUUGCAGUCUCCAAUAUAUCCAAAUAUCAUCACCGCCCCAGACGUCAUUCACUCCAUUGAAUUGUGCUGGAAGCAGUAAGGUGUCAUCAUUUGAGAUGGUCACAGUAUCCAAUACACUGAAGUCACAGGACUCAAAUUUCAUACAUGUUCACAGGUAGGUGUAUAGUCUUUGAAAUUACCACAAUUGACUAAUUCUGAGAUAGGUAAGUAUGUGAGUAUAGGAAAGAGAGCACCAAAUCCCCGGAUGAACACAUGGCUUUGUUUGUUAUGGAACAUUAAACCGAAUACUGAAUGGGUAGGCGUUACGCCAUUGGCUGAAAUCAGGUAUUUAAUUGUUUUCAUUUUAAAGUAAAAUUAAUGACCUUUGAAAUAAAUGAUGGGAUGAGGGAAUAUUA